rnacentral:rRNA from 1 species
CCUACGGGAGGCAGCAGUGGGGAAUAUUGCGCAAUGGGCGGAAGCCUGACGCAGCAACGCCGCGUGAGGGAUGACGGCCUUCGGGUUGUAAACCUCUUUCAGCAGGGAAGAAGCGAGAGUGACGGUACCUGCAGAAGAAGCACCGGCUAACUACGUGCCAGCAGCCGCGGUAAU